rnacentral:rRNA from 1 species
CAGCUCCAAUAGCGUAUAUUAAAAUUGUUGCAGUUAAAAAGCUCGUAGUUGAAUUUCUGCUGCAUUGCUUGUGUCCCUCUGGGGUCUGUGCAUGUGGCUUUUUUCGGACGGAGUUUCUUUGUCUGAAUGUUUACUUUGAGAAAAUUAGAGUGCUCAAAGCAGGCUUUCGCCUUGAAUAGUUUAGCAUGGAAUAAUAAAGUAGGACUUUGGUUCUAUUUUGUUGGUUUUAGGUACCAAAGUAAUGGUUAAUAGGAACAGUUGGGGGCAUUCGUAUUUAACUGUCAGAGGUGAAAUUCUUAGAUUUGUUAAAGACGAACUACUGCGAAAGCAUUUGCCAAGGAUGUUUUCAUUAAUCAAGAACGAAAGUUAGGGGAUCGAAGACGAU